GCAGGAGCACCCCGAUUGAGAUUGAUUUGCGGCACCUCACCCAUCUGCGCUCGGUUCCGCGUCGCUACAUCCCGUGAUCUAGCACUCCAUUGCGUCGCCGCCGCUUCUUCGCUUGUUGACUGCCUGGCGCCGCCGCCUCAAGUGUCGUGGUCGAAGGUCCCUUCUUCCCUAUGCGCGCGGCCACCCCGAUCGAUCGGCGCCGCCCGCUUCUUUGUUGGCAGCCUCGCGCAGCCGCCUCCGGCAUCCUAGUCGAACGCAUGUGGCCUCCCUGAUCUGUUUGGCUGUGAGCUGGUUUGGAUGAUGGAUGGUACCAACGAUGAACAGAGGCGAGAGAAGAAUAUUUCAUGAUAGUUAUUAGUCAGAUAUUUGAUAGUGUUUUAAUUGAGUUGAGUUUAUGGAGAAAUUCUGUAACCUUAAUAUUUGUUAUAUGCAUGCAUUCGCUGGCCUUGGUGCAUGUAUUCA